AAAAUGGGUUUUCCACCGCCAAAUGGGCAACUCCUGGCGAGCUAAAAGAGAUGGAACAGGUAUUUCUUCUUCCAACGCCGAAGCUUCCUGUGAAGGGACUUGAAAUAUCCACUGCCACUUGUGUGGACAGAGCGGA
rnacentral:ribozyme from 1 species